CCUACGGGUGGCAGCAGUGGGGAAUAUUGCACAAUGGGGGAAACCCUGAUGCAGCGACGCAGCGUGAGUGAGGAAGUAUUUCGGUAUGUAAAGCUCUAUCUGCAGGGAAGAAAAUGACGGUACCUGACUAAUAAGCCCCGGCUAACUACGUGCCAGCAGCCGCGAUAAUACGGAGGGUGCAAGCGUUAUCCGGAUGUACUGGGUGUAAAGGGAGCGUAGAUGGCUAAUUAAGUGAGAUGUGAAAACUAAGGGCUCAACUGUGAGACUGGUUUUGAAACUGGCUAGCUAGAGUGCAGGAGAGGUAAGCGGAAUUCGUGGUGUAGCGGUGAAAUGCGUAGAUAUUAGGAGGAACACCAGUUGCGAAGGCGGCUUACUGGACUGUCACUGACAUUGAGGCUCGAAAGUGUGGGGAGCAAACAGGAUUAGAUACCCGAGUAGUC
rnacentral:rRNA from 1 species